rnacentral:rRNA from 1 species
CCUACGGGUGGCAGCAGUGGGGAAUAUUGCACAAUGGGGGGAACCCUGAUGCAGCAAUGCCGCGUGGGUGAAGAAGCACUUCGGUGCGUAAAGCCCUGUUAGCAGGGAAGAAAAUGACAGUACCUGGACCAGUAUCUCCGGCUAACUACGUGCCAGCAGCCGCGGUAAUAAGUAGGGGGCAGGCGUUAGCCGGAUUUACUGGGUGUAAAGGGAGUGCAGGGGGGGUGGAAAGUCAGCAGUGAAAAGCCGGGGGCCAACCCUGGGAGUGCCUUGGAAACUGGCAGGCUGGAGUGCAGGAGAGGUAGGCGGAAUUCCUGGUGUAGCGGUGAAAUGCGUAGAUAUUAGGAGGAACACCGGUGGCGGAGGCGGCUUACUGGACGGUAACUGACGCUGAGGCUCGAAAGCGUGGGGAGCAAACAGGAUUAGAUACCCGAGUAGUC